GUCUUUGGUUUUAAUCCAUUAACAACUUUCAGCAGUGGAUGUCUAGGCUCGCACAUCGAUGAAGAACGCUGCGAACUGCGAUACGUAAUGCGAAUUGCAGGAUUCAGUGAGUCAUCGAAAUUUUGAACGCAUAUUGCACUUUCGGGUUAUGCCUGGAAG
rnacentral:rRNA from 1 species